rnacentral:rRNA from 1 species
AUAGAGACUCAGAGCUGCAUAUCAAUAAGCGGAGGAAAAGAAACUAACAAGGAUUCCCCUAGUAACGGCGAGUGAAGCGGGAAGAGCUCAAAUUUGAAAUCUUAAAGGGUUUCCCUUUACGAAUUGUAGUUUAAAGAAGUGUUUUCUGUUGGAGUUUCGGUAAAAGUUCUUUGGAAUUAGGACAUCAUAGAGGGUGAGAAUCCCGUAUUUGACCGUUACUUUCCAGCUGUGUGAUACACUUUCAAAGAGUCGGAUUGUUUGGGAAUGCAGUCCAAGAUGGGUGGUAAAUUUCAUCUAAAGCUAAAUAUUGGCGAGAGACCGAUAGCGAACAAGUACCGUGAGGGAAAGAUGAAAAGAACUUUGUAAAAGAGAGUUAAACAGUACGUGAAAUUGUCAAAAGGGAAGCGUUUGACACCAGUGUUGUUUAGUUGAAAAUCAAUUCAAUAGUUUUUGAUUCUAAGUAGUAUUGACUUCAUCAGCUUGCUGCUUUCUUCUCAGAAAUUAUUGAAUGCACUUUUCAGUUAACAAGUCAACAUCAAUUUCUUUUGUUGUAAAAGGGUAAGAGGAAGGUGGCUUGCGCUUCGGCUCAAGUGUUUAUAGCCUUUUAUCUCUGCAAUCGGAGAGAUUGAGGUCUGCAGCGUAGAUCCUUCGGGGUUAGAUACAUUGGUGCUAAGCUAUAGCCUUGUAUAGACAACUUGUUGACUAUACUCAGUCAUGUAGCUUACUCGCUUAUGCUAUUUUACCUACGCUUAGGAUGUUGACGAGACUGUCGAUCUC